rnacentral:misc_RNA from 1 species
AACCAUUCUCACCUGCGGCUAGACCUGCGGAAGGAUCAUUACAGAGUUACUACUCCAAACCCAUUGUGAACCUUACCUAUGUUCUGUUGCCUCGGCGGCGUGGUCAGCGCCCCUCUGAAAAGAGGACGAUGCCCUCCCGCCGGCAGCACCAAACUCUUUGAAUUUUACAGCGGAUUACAGUUCUGAUUUGAAAACAAAAAACAAGUUAAAACUUUCAACAACGGAUCUCAGAUCGGAAGA